rnacentral:rRNA from 1 species
GAUGAACGCUGGCGGCGUGCCUAAUACAUGCAAGUCGAGCGAACGGACGAGAAGCUUGCUUCUCUGAUGUUAGCGGCGGACGGGUGAGUAACACGUGGAUAACCUACCUAUAAGACUGGGAUAACUUCGGGAAACCGGAGCUAAUACCGGAUAAUAUUUUGAACCGCAUGGUUCAAAAGUGAAAGACGGUCUUGCUGUCACUUAUAGAUGGAUCCGCGCUGCAUUAGCUAGUUGGUAAGGUAACGGCUUACCAAGGCAACGAUGCAUAGCCGACCUGAGAGGGUGAACGGCCACACUGGAACUGAGACACGGUCCAGACACCUAAGGGAGGCAGCAGUAGGGAAUCUUCCGCAAUGGGCGAAAGCCUGACGGAGCAAAGCCGCGUGAGUGAUGAAGGUCUUCGGAUCGUAAAACUCUGUUAUUAGGGAAGAACAUAUGUGUAAGUAACUGUGCACAUCUUGACGGUACCUAAUCAGAAAGCCACGGCUAACUACGUG